rnacentral:lncRNA from 1 species
AAUAAAUAAAUAAAAAUUUGUUUUGAAUCAGAUUCCAUCCAACACCCCCACCAAAUAUGAACACCCCAUAACACAUGAUUUUUUAUUUUUUAUUUUUAAUCAAAAUAUUUUGUAAUAUCUAAAUAGUAUGAAAUGAUAUUACUAAUUGAUUACAAAUUUAAACAUAGAAGUAAGAAAAAAAGAAAAGAAAAGGAAGAAUAAUAUAUAGUUGUGAGGAUAAAUGAUUGCUUUUGAUUUUUGAUAAUCUUGUCGGGUAAUUUCUCUUUUCUCUAUGCCUGCCGUGCCAGCACAUAAAAAAAUAUAAUAACAAAAUUAAAAUUAAAAAAGAAGGUGGAGAUUAAUAUUAAUAAUAACAACAACAACAAUAAAAUAUUGAAUUAUUGCAUCAUCAUCAUCAUCAGCAUCAUCGCCGCCGGUGGUCAAAGGCACAACGCGGUACAUCGAAGAUCAUCGCUGCUAAAAUCAAAAAGAUCGGAAGGUGGAAUGUUGAGAUCGAAAGGCAGA